UCUUAGUGGCGGACGGGUGAGUAACGCGUGGGUAACCUGCCCUGUACAGGGGGAUAACACUUAGAAAUAGGUGCUAAAACCGCAUAAGCGCACAGUACCGCAUGGUACAGUGUGAAAAACUCCGGUGGUACAGGAUGGACCCGCGUCUGAUUAGCUGGUUGGAGGGGUAACGGCCCACCAAGGCGACGAUCAGUAGCCGGCCUGAGAGGGUGAACGGCCACAUUGGGACUGAGACACGGCCCAAACUCCUACGGGAGGCAGCAG
rnacentral:rRNA from 1 species